rnacentral:lncRNA from 1 species
UAGAUAAUACUUGCCAUGGAAAAGACACUCAUCACAAGAAGUAUACCGAGCAGCAACAUAGUCGGAAGCAGAUAUCAGAACCAACAAAAGUUGUACUGGAACUCUUGAACACCAAGUUUAAAGCUGGAGGUGGGAGAUGAAAGAUCAUGGGUUUUGUUGAUGCAAAAGGUAGCAAUUUGCUAAAGACUUCUUUGUCUAAUGCUCUUUUCUUUGGUGAGAGAACAUAUUUUGUGUGUUUCUUGCUACGUACUCUCAUGCAUACUGCGGUUUCAUUCACUGUUCCAGGUUUUUGAUUUAUGGGUCUCCACCUUUGCUUCUGAAGAAUAAUACCUGUCAUGAUCAAAAACAGCUUUAUCUAUUUAAUUACAGUUCCAUGCAUCCCACAGCAUUCAUUGGUCGUGAACUCAACAAAACUGAGGUGAUGAUUGAUCAGACUGCAUGCACCGAAAGAAGAGGAGAGAGGAAGGAAGGGUUUCAGCAAUAGACAACCAUAGUGCAGGAAAAGAAGAGAGAAGGGGGAACAAGGAGAAAAGGAAGAAGACGGCCAGGUGCUGCUUUCGACGAGGCUUUGGAUAUCGUCUCCUUUUUCUCGACUGUCCCCGCCACGCUUCAACACGCUUUUGGAAAAGCGAGCUAUAUUCAACGCGACGAAAAUGACCGAGACAUCCUUCGCCUGUGAGACCUUCUGCAACUUUCUUGAGGGUUUUUUGGUCAUUAACGACAC